UCGAACAUACUUCAUAGGAUCAUUUCUAUAGUAUCUGUUCUGGCAUUGGUUUUCUAAACCUGCCAUCGAGUUAUACUCGGUUGAUGAGCGUAUGGUUCUUUCGUACGAUUCGAGCGAGGAUCCUUCCAAUUUGUCCCGUAUCCUCUGCCCAAACGGGUGGAGCUUGUCGUCGACUCGAGAGGGUCGGUGAUGGGUGUGUGCGGGACUCGAUGAACUCUGGCCUGGUUGUGCGACUCUUUGGAGGGCAUGCUGGGUUGUACGGAAGAGCGCUCUGACGGGC
rnacentral:snoRNA from 1 species